rnacentral:rRNA from 1 species
GACGAACGCUGGCGGCGUGCCUAAUACAUGCAAGUCGAGCGAACAGACGAGGAGCUUGUUCCUCUGACGUUAGCGGCGGACGGGUGAGUAACACGUGGAUAAUCUACCUAUAAGAGUGGGAUAACUUCGGGAAACCGGAGCUAAUACCGGAUAAUAUAUUGAACCGCAUGGUUCAAUAGUGAAAGAUGGUUUUGCUGUAACGUAUAGAGGGAUCCCCGCCUCAUUGGGAGGUGGGGAAGGUAACGGGUUACCAAGGCGACGAUGCGUAGCCGACCUGACAGGGGGAUCGGCCAAACGGGAACUGGGACACGGUCCAAACUCCUACGGGAGGAGGCAGUAGGGAAUCUUCGGCAAGGGGCGAAAGCCUGACGGGGCAACGCCGCGUGGGUGAUGAGGGUCUUGGGAUCUUAAAACUCUGUUAUUAGGAAAGAACAAAUGUGUAAAAGAAUAUGCACGUCUUGACGGUACCUACACAGAAAGACACGGCUAACUACGUG